CCUGGUUGAUCCUGCCAGUAGCAUUAGCUUGUCUCAAAGAUUAAGCCAUGCAUGUCUAAGUACACAUGGCCGGUACAGUGAAAUUGCAAAUGGCUCAUUAAAUCAGUUAUGGUUCCUUUGAUCAUUCCAAACGUUACUUGGAUAACUGUGGGAGUUCUAGAGCUAAAUACAUGCAAGCGAGCACUGACCCACAUGGGGAUGUGUGCAUUUAUCAGACUAAAAACCAAUCUGGGCUCAGCUGGCAGCUUUGGUGACACUAGAUCACCUCUGGCGACACUAGAUCACCUCUGGCUGAUUGCAUGUUCUCGCAACAAUGAUGACUCGUUCAAAUGUCCACCCUAUCAACUUUCAAUGGUACUUUGUGCCUACCAUGGUGACCACGGGUAACGGGGAAUCAGGGUUCGAUUCCAGAGAGGGAGCCUGAGAAAUGGCUACCACAUUCAAGGAAGGCAGGUGCACAAAUCACCCACUCCCAACUCAGGGGAGGUAGUGACGAAAAACAACAAUCGGGCUGUAAUUGGAAUAAUCCUUUAACAAGGAUCUACUGGAGGGCAAGUCUGGUGCCAGCAGCCAUGAUAAUUCCAGAUCCAAUAAUGUAUAUUGGAGCUGCUGCAGUUAAAAAGCUCGUAGUUGGAUCUUGGGAUCGAGCUGGUGGUCCACCGUGAUGUGAGCUACCGCCUGUCCCAGCCCUGCCUCAUGGCGCUCCCUUGAUGUUCUUAGCCGAGUGUCCUGGGGGUCCGAAGCAGUUACUUUAAAAAAAAUUAGUGGUCAAAGCAAUACGAUUGCAAAGCUAAAACUUAAAGGAAUUGACGGAAGGGCACCGCCAGGAGUGGAGCCUGCAGCUUAAAUUUGACUCAACAUGGGAAACCUCACCUGGCCCAGAUAUGGAAAGGAUUGACAGAUUGAUAGCCCUUUCUCGAUUCUGUGUGUAGUGGUGCAUGAUCGUUCUUAAUUGGUCGGAGCAUUUUGUCUGGUUAAUUCAGGUAACGAACAAGACUCCUCCAUGUUAAGUAGUUACAUGACCCCAAGCGGUCCACGUCCAACUUCUUAGGAGGGACAAGUGGCAUACAGCCACACGAGAUUGAGCAAUUACAGGUCUGUGAUGCCCGGGGCUGCACACACACUAAACUGAAUAGAUCAGCGUGUGUCUACCCUACACCGCCAAGUGUGGGUAACCCAUUGAACCCCAUUCAUAAUAGGGAUUGGGAAUUGCAAUUAUUUCCCAUAAACAAGGAAUUCCCAGUGAGUGUGGGUCAUUAGCUCGCGUUGAUUAAGUCGCUUCCCUUCGUACACACCACCCGUCACUACUACCGAUUGUAUGGUUUAAUGAGGUCCUCAGAUCAGCCCUGCCGUAAUUGGCGACGGCCCUGGCAGAGCAAUAAGAUGAACAAACUUGACUAUCCGGGGAAGUAAAAGUUGUAACGAGGUUUCUGUAGGGGAACCUGUGGAAG
rnacentral:rRNA from 1 species